GGAAGAAGGGGCUAAGGCAGAAGCCAGGAGAGAGAGCAUUUCAACAAGACGGCAGUCAUUGGCAAGCACAGGGAGAAUGAGUGUUGGCAGCAAUAGGCGGCUGUCAGAUGUCUUCUCUGUCUUCCAGAAUCGCACGUCAGCUGAAUGCCCUGGGAUUCUCGAUGUAAGUGAUUCGUGUUUACUAUCUACAUCAAUGGAUGAAAUCUAACUCAAGAUCAAAAGGCUGAAAAAUGAGCAAGCUGUGGAAGUUCUUGCUUUCUAAAUCUUAAUUUGGUAACGACAUUGCCCAGAAAAUCAGCCCGUUUGAUCCCCUUCAGGACUGGUAAAGGAAGUUGAAUUAAUCCUGAAAAUAUUACCAGGAAGUUUGGGGUGCCUGGAGGAGGAUGAGACUGCAUGGUGAAGUUGUAAUAUAAUAAAUUUAUUUUCAUAGAGCUCUUUUGUAAGUAAUAAAUAUAAAAAGGUCAAGCUGAAUUUUAUUUUGCUUACAAAAAUGGGGAUAGUAGUAAAAAAGACAAAGGCUUCUUGCUGUUUUUGUAGCCAUGGAUAAAUAAGUCUAAAAGACAUGUAAGCUUUAAUUUUGUGACAUGCUGUGUGGGGUGUAGACAAAUUUUGUUAUGUAGGUGCUAUUGUAUGUUUAUUUUUUAUACAUUGUUUUUUAUACAUAUUUCUAACAAAUCCUAGGGAAUAAUAUAUUUAAAAUAUAUGAACUCUCACUACAGCUGACAUUAUUGGAUCUCAUUUGGGAUUUAUGGAUUCUAUGUAAUGAAGGUCAAGAAUCAGCUGUUAAAGAUAUAAAACACACACAAAAAAAUAAUUGCUUGCAGAAUAAAACAUGCAGCAGUUACACGAGCAGCUUAUUUAAGUACUGAGGUUGGACUGAAGAGGUGUUACAUUAGUUGACACCUAGACAUAUUCAUGUGGUCUUCAGCAGUUAACAUGCAUCUUUAAAAACUAGAAAGCAGGUAUAACUGCCCUUUUUGCAAAUAUACUAAUAUGCAAUAAUAAUGGAAACUUAUUUGGUAUUACACAGAAAUGCUUUUGUAUAUAUAUCAUUUAUGCUUAAUACAAAUCAAACUUGCCACUACAAAUAUCUAUGAUAAUUAUUGUUAAUAAAUAUACUGUAUA